AUUGAACGCUGGCGGCAGGCUUAACACAUGCAAGUCGAGCGAGCGGCGGACGGGUGAGUAAUGUCUGGGAAACUGCCUGAUGGAGGGGGAUAACUACUGGAAACGGUAGCUAAUACCGCAUACCAUCGGAUGUGCCCAGAUGGGAUUAGCUAGUAGGUGGGGUAAUGGCUCACCUAGGCGACGAUCCCUAGCUGGUCUGAGAGGAUGACCAGCCACACUGGAACUGAGACACGGUCCAGACUCCUACGGGAGGCAGCAGUGGGGAAUAUUGCACAAUGGGCGCAAGCCUGAUGCAGCCAUGCCGCGUGUGUGAAGAAGGCCUUCGGGUUGUAAAGUACUUUCAGCGAGGAGGCGUUACUCGCAGAAGAAGCACCGGCUAACUCCGUGCCAGCAGCCGCGGUAAUUC
rnacentral:rRNA from 1 species